GCUGCUGCUGCUGCUGCUGCAGCUGCUGCAGCUGCUGCAGCGCCUGCUGCAGCAGCAAGCGGAGGCGACGCAGAGGAAGGAGAUGAGGCGUCCAGGCCCCUGCCAUGACUGCUGACACU
rnacentral:snoRNA from 1 species